AUUUAAACUCUCUGUCAAACUCCUCCUGAGUGUAGCUGGGCGCCAUGUUUGCUCUGCCGAAGUUGGUUCCUUUGUAGAUAGGGUCGCUGUACGGGUACUAGCGUUGCCCUCAAUUUGUAAUCGAGGAAUUGAUGUUGUUUUGUAGCUGUCCUGUGGGAAUGAUCCCGCCGCUUGCCACCAAUUGUAACGGACCGUUUCUCUCACAAGAGGAUAAAAACCAUUUAGGCGAUAAUCCCC